rnacentral:rRNA from 1 species
GACGAACGCUGGCGGCGUGCCUAAUACAUGCAAGUCGAGCGCAGGAAACCGUCUGAACCCUUCGGGGGGACGACGGUGGAAUGAGCGGCGGACGGGUGAGUAACACGUAAAGAACCUGCCCACGGGUCUGGGAUAACCACGAGAAAUCGGGGCUAAUACCGGACGGGUCAUCGGACCGCAUGGUCCGAGGAUGAAAGGCGCUCCGGCGUCGCCUGUGGAUGGCUUUGCGGUGCAUUAGCUAGUUGGGGGGGUAACGGCCCACCAAGGCGACGAUGCAUAGCCGACCUGAGAGGGUGAUCGUCCACACUGGGACUGAGACACGGCCCAGACUCCUACGGGAGGCAGCAGUAGGGAAUCUUCCACAAUGGAUGAAAGUCUGAUGGAGCAACGCCGCGUGAACGAUGAAGGCCCUCGGGUCGUAAAGUUCUGUUGUAAGGGAAGAACAAGUGCCGCAGGCAAUGGCGGCACCUUGACGGUACCUUGCGAGAAAGCCACGGCUAACUACGUGCCAGCCGCCGCGGUAACAC